CACGUUACAAUGAAAGGGUAGC
rnacentral:miRNA from 1 species